rnacentral:rRNA from 1 species
UAGGGAAUCUUCCGCAAUGGGCGAAAGCCUGACGGAGCAACGCCGCGUGAGUGAUGAAGGUCUUCGGAUCGUAAAACUCUGUUAUUAGGGAAGAACAAAUGUGUAAGUAACUAUGCACGUCUUGACGGUACCUAAUCAGAAAGCCACGGCUAACUACGUGCCAGCAGCCGCGGUAAUACGUAGGUGGCAAGCGUUAUCCGGAAUUAUUGGGCGUAAAGCGCGCGUAGGCGGUUUUUUAAGUCUGAUGUGAAAGCCCACGGCUCAACCGUGGAGGGUCAUUGUAAACUGGACAACUUGAGUGCAGAAGAGGAAAGUGGAAUUCCAUGUGUAGCGGUGAAAUGCGCAGAGAUAUGGAGGAACACCAGUGGCGAAGGCGACUUUCUGGUCUGUAACUGACGCUGAUGUGCGAAAGCGUGGGGAUCAAACAGG